UACAGAGGGUGCGAGCGUUGUUCGGAAUCACUGGGCGUAAAGGGCGCGUAGGCGGCCGAUCAAGUCGGGGGUGAAAGCCUGUGGCUCAACCACAGAAUUGCCUUCGAUACUGGUUGGCUUGAGACCGGAAGAGGUAAGUGGAACUGCGAGUGUAGAGGUGAAAUUCGUAGAUAUUCGCAAGAACACCAGUGGCGAAGGCGGCUUACUGGUCCGGUUCUGACGCUGAGGCGCGAAAGCGUGGGGAGCAAACAGG
rnacentral:rRNA from 1 species